UGCCGGGCCUUCCCUGCGGAGGAGGCGGCGGAGGCCCGGGACGGGCCCGGGAAAAACCGGAAUAAAAACGGGAUAAAGCGGGAAAAACGGAUAAACCCGGGAUAACCGGGAGCGCCGGGAGCAGCGGGAUCAGCGCCGCCGCAGCCAUGGUGUUCUACUUCACCUCCAACGCCGCUGCCGCCGUCUACACCAUCUACAUGGGCAAGGACAAGUACGAGAACGAGGACCUGAUCAAGUACGGGUGGCCCGAGGACGUCUGGU